CAAGGCCGGGGGAGCGGCUGGGAUCUGGGGAAGUGGCUCAGAGCCCAGGAGUUAUUGUAGGGACAGCCCUGUCAGGCCUCUAUGGAGCAGAAAACUGCAAGGCCAGAAGGGUUGCAUCCCUUGACACCUCCCCCACCCCAUGACAUCACCCACAUGGCACGGUUGGCCUUAUCCCGCAGCACUUGAAGAUGCUCAGACCUUGAAUCGCUCCCAAGGUCACACAGUGACUCACAUGCUGCUUGUUAGCAUCAUCUACUGUUUCUUCUUUUUCUUCCUACAAGAAAAGGCGUAACAGAGGGAUUGUGCCAAGUGGGUAUUAGAGCCUUGUCAGGGAAGGCAAUAUUAUACGAUUCUAGUGGCUUGAAAUAACGACGCAUAAGAAACCUAGCUCAUAAAUUUACCAUUGCUAUUUGUCUAUGGAUUCCGCGUCAUGGAUUUUUUGCAAGUCACCCAGUGUCUCACGCAGCUGCACAGGGCUGCAGUGAAUACGGACAUCUGACACCCAGAGAGAGGGGCAGGCCACAAGGCUGAACACGAGAGCACACCCAGGAGUAUAGGGAACAUUUAUUUCCUCUGAACCCAUCCUCUCUGUGCUGUCUUCAGAGGUGAAGAACAAAAAUAAUGCUCAAAAAGAUUGAAAGGACUGGUAACCUUGCUGCACAGAAUCAUUAUUCAUUUCUGAUCUGAAUACAUUAGCAAGCCAAAGAAAAAUCCAGUAUACAAUAUGCAUUCAGACUCCAUGACCCUUAUUUCCCGUUCCGCAACUUCGAAGGUUGGCUCGGUGACUGAGCACAGACCCUGCAGGCUAAAUCAAGGCAAGCUGAAGCUGGAGAUGGUUCUGGACCUGUUGGUGAAAUCUCUAAGUUAGCUGGUUACUUUUCAGUGCCUAAGCUGUGCAUGGAACACAGAUCAAAUGUGCAAUACCAAGCGCCACAAGGAAAAUGUCUUCACGUUAAAGGAACAGAGCCUUGCUGACUGUGGUUGCCGUUCACAAUGGAUAGUCCUGUGCUGCAAAGACUUUUUUUGGAUCCCUGCCAAUGUUAGUCUCUGCAAGACAGAAUUUGAUUUAAUGCAGCAGGAACUGAAGACCCGCAAGACAGAAUUUGAUUUAAUGCAGCAGACACUGAAGAUCUGCAAGACAGAAUUUGAUUUAAUGCAGCAAGUACUGAAGACCUUACUCUUCGGGGACCCUAAUUCUAUGUGGUAUUGUGGAUUUCAACGCACUUUCUGAAAGCCACACUUUUGGCUAAAUGUAGCACAUCAUUGGGACCUGGUCCCAGCUCUUUUAUUAACUGUGUGAGCCUUGACCAUGACAUUUGAUCUCUUUGUACCUCACUUUUCUUGUCUCUAUGAGGUGGGUUAAUAUUCUGAAAUACCGACUGAGUUUUUCUUAUCAUAUUUUCCUAUACUCAGCCCUUUCCCCAACCCUUACUCUUAUUUAAUCAGCCAGGCUUUGUUUAGCUUAUUUUUGCAUUUCUUUGCCUCAGGGAAGCAGUGUAGAUUAGAGAAAAAGGAUAUUUUUUCCUGACUUUUAAUGUUUUAGACCCAAUAGAACUCAGCAAGAAUAUGAAAAAGAUAAUAGAUUUGGAAGAACAAUAAUGUAAGAGCAAAUCAUCCUGAUUCUAAAACUAGAGAUUUCCCUGGCUGCAGGAAAGAGCAACAGAGCAGGAAAGAUUCUACAGACCUGCUUGGUCCAUGAGCUGGGGAGUCCUGCAUCCAGCCUCCUGCAUCCCUGGUUGCUUCUGGUCAUGGACUCCCUGGAAUUCCUGCCCAGCUUCUCAUACAUCAAGCACAGUUCUACAAGCAGAGAACACCCUGGGGAGUAAGUCACAGGUACUGUGGUAAGAAACUGGCAGUGUGGAAGUCCUAGCCAGAGCAAUCUGACAGGAGAAAAAAAUAAAAGACACCCAAAUUGGAAAAGAGGAAGUCAAAUUAUCUCUGCCAAUGAUAUGAUCAUAUACCUAGAAAGCCCUAAAGACUCUUCAGAAAGACUCCUAGAUCUGAUAAAUGAAUUCAGUAAAGUCUCAGGUUACAAAAUCAAUGUACACAAAUUAGUAGCACUGCUAUACACCAACAAUGAUCAAACUGAGAGUCAAAAAACUCAAUUCCUUUUACAAUAGCUACAAAAAAAAAAAAAAAACCUUGGCAAAUAAUUAACCAAGGAGAUCAAAGAUCUCUACAAAGAGAACUACAAAACACUGCUGAAAGAAGUCAAAGAUGGCACAAACAAAUGAAAAUACAUCCCAUGCUUAUGGAUGGAAGAAUUAAUAUUGUGAAAACAACAGUAAUACCCAAAGCAAUCUACAGAUUCAGUGCAAUUGCUAUCAAAAGACCAAUAUCAUUUUUCACAGAAUUAGUAAAAACAAUCCUAAAAUUCAUAUAGAACUGAAAAAGAGCCCAAAUAGCUAAAGCAAUCUAAAUGAAAAAGAACAAAUCUGGAGGCAUCACAUUACCUGACUUCAAAGAAUACCACAAGGCUAUGGUAAUCAAAACAACAUGGCACUGGUAUAAAAUAGAUACAUAGACCAAUGGAAUGGAAUAGAGAACCCAUAAAUAAAGCCAAAUACUUACAAACAACUGAUCUUCAACAAAGCAUACAAGAACAUACAGUGAGGAAAGGACACCCUAUUCAGUAAAUGGUGCUGAGAAAGGUGGAUAGCCCCAUGUAGAAGAAUAAAACUGGAUCCCUACCUCUUAUCAUAUACAAAAAUUAACUCAAGAUGGAUUAAAGACUUAAAACCUGAAACCAUAAAAUUCUAGAUGGAAACCUAGGAAAAACUCUUCUAGACGUUGGCCCAGGCAAAGAAUUUAUGAUGAAAACCCCAAAAGCAAAUGCAACAAGAGCAAAAAUAAAUAAAUGGGACCUGAUUAAACUAAAAAGCUUCAGCACAGCAAAAUAAAUAAUCAUCAGAGUAAGCAGACAACCUACAGAAUGGGAGGAAAUAUUUGCAGUCUAUGCAUCUGACUAAGGACUAAUACCCAGAAUCUACAAGGAACUGAAACAAAUCACAAAGAAAAAACAAAUAAUCCCAUUAAAAAGUGGGCAAAUGACAUGCAUAGACAUUAUACUGCUCAACAUCACUAGUCAUCAAGGAAAUGCAGAUUAAAACCCCAAUGAGAUACCCCCUACCCAAGCCAGAAUGUCCAUUAUUAAAAAGUCAAAAAACAA
rnacentral:lncRNA from 10 species